GGAGAGGUGGCUGAGCGGCUGAAAGCGCCUCCCUGCUAAGGAGGUAUACUGGUAACGGUAUCGUGGGUUCGAAUCCCAUCCUCUCCUCCA
rnacentral:tRNA from 1 species